rnacentral:rRNA from 1 species
UACGUAGGGGGCAAGCGUUGUCCGGAUUUAUUGGGCGUAAAGAGCGUGUAGGCGGCCAGGUAGGUCAGCUGUGAAAACUCGAGGCUCAACCUCGAGCUGUCGGCUGAAACCAUCUGGCUAGAGUCCGGAAGAGGAGAAUGGAAUUCCCGGUGUAGCGGUGAAAUGCGCAGAUAUCGGGAAGAACACCCGUGGCGAAGGCGGUUCUCUGGGACGGUACUGACGCUGAGACGCGAAAGCGUGGGGAGCGAACGGG